UUUCCGUAGGUGAACCUGCGGAAGGAUCAUUACCGAGUGAGUGUCUCUCAGGCCCGACCUCCCACCCUGUGUUUUUGUGACCUUGUUUCUUUGUCGGGCCCGCCUCGAUGAUAAGCCGCCGGAAGCUCUCCGCUUUUGGCCCUUGCCCGUCAGUAUCUCCCUUAAAUUCUUCAUAAACUUGUCGUCUGAUUUAAUGGAUAUAAUGAAAAAAAACUUUCAACAAAGGAUCUCUUGGUUCUG
rnacentral:misc_RNA from 1 species